rnacentral:rRNA from 1 species
GAUAAAUCAUCGAUAUUUUUUAGUAAAGGCUCCCCUCAAAACCAUAGACAAGAAGUAAAGAAUUCACUCAAUGUGCACAAUAAAUCCCUUAGUGAGAGAUACCUUGGUAUGCCCAUUGGUGCUUGUCAUUCGAUCAAUGGAACUUUUAGAUAUCUACGGGACCAAGUAUGGGAAAGGAUAAGAGGGUGGAUGGAAAAAUUGUUGUCCGUGGCAGGCAAAGAAGUUUUAAUCAAAUCGGUUAUUCGAUUACACUGCAUCCUCAUACCAUUAAUGACAUUUGGUAGGGCUGGCCCGUAA